GCGUCGGUGGUAUAGUGGCGUAGAAUGUUCUCGCCCGGUAAUCGCCUGGAGGUGUGGGUUCGAAUCCCUCCUGGCGCU
rnacentral:tRNA from 1 species